rnacentral:rRNA from 1 species
AUGUCGGACGUGGAGAAGCACUUCCCACGCUAUCUUGCUCCUCCACUGCCGGCCCCACGUCGUCCUGCCUACCAGUGCCCCCCACGCGGCCCUGCUCCCCGCCGUUGCCCCCUCCAGGUUGCCGGCGGCGGAGAUUUAUGUCCGUGCGAACAUCCCGGUGAGGCAUCUCUCUCUCUCUCUCUCUCUCUCUCUCUCUCUCUCUCUCUCUCUCAACUGACAACCAAAUUCAUCUCACAGAUCGGAAACAUCAGUGCCAGUGGGUUCUUCUUCAGAGACCAUCCAUUUGACGUUCUGCCCCGAGUCCCGAUGACCUUCUUAUGUGCGGAUGUCAAAAGACAUGCCUUCUUUGUACCAUUCGCGAGACCAAAGUGA